CCCUUAGAUGUCCUGGGCUGCACGCGCGCUACUCUGAUGUGUCCAGUAAGCACCUAACCUCUUCCGAAAGGAACGGGUAACCUUUGCAAAGCACAUCGUGAUGGGGAUAGAUUAUUGCAAUUAUUAGUCUUGAACGAGGAAUUCCUAGUAAGCACAAGUCAUCAGCUUGUGUUGAUUACGUCCCUGCCCUUUGUACACACCGCCCGUCGCUCCUACCGAUUGAAUGUUCCGGUGAGCUCUUCGGACUGCGCGGUCUGCAGUUUCUGCGUUCCGUGCGGAAAGUUGCGCAAACCUUAACAUUUAGAGGAAGGAGAAGUCGUAACA
rnacentral:rRNA from 1 species